rnacentral:rRNA from 1 species
GGGAGGCAGCAGUGGGGAAUAUUGGACAAUGGGCGCAAGCCUGAUCCAGCCAUGCCGCGUGAGUGAUGAAGGCCCUAGGGUUGUAAAGCUCUUUCACCGGUGAAGAUAAUGACGGUAACCGGAGAAGAAGCCCCGGCUAACUUCGUGCCAGCAGCCGCGGUAAUACGAAGGGGGCUAGCGUUGUUCGGAUUUACUGGGCGUAAAGCGCACGUAGGCGGACUUUUAAGUCAGGGGUGAAAUCCCGGGGCUCAACCCCGGAACUGCCUUUGAUACUGGAAGUCUUGAGUAUGGUAGAGGUGAGUGGAAUUCCGAGUGUAGAGGUGAAAUUCGUAGAUAUUCGGAGGAACACCAGUGGCGAAGGCGGCUCACUGGACCAUUACUGACGCUGAGGUGCGAAAGCGUGGGGAGCAAACAGGAUUAGAUAC